AGAGUUUGAUCCUGGCUCAGGAUGAACGCUGGCGGCGUGCCUAAUACAUGCAAGUCGAACGCUUCACAUAUGUGAAGAGUGGCGAACGGGUGAGUAAUACAUAAGUAACCUGGCCUUUACAGGGGGAUAACUAUUGGAAACGAUAGCUAAGACCGCAUAGGUGUCAUAACCGCAUGGAGAUGAUAUGAAAUAUGCUACGGCAUAGGUAGAGGAUGGACUUAUGGCGCAUUAGCUAGUUGGAGGGGUAACGGCCCACCAAGGCGACGAUGCGUAGCCGACCUGAGAGGGUGACCGGCCACACUGGGACUGAGACACGGCCCAGACUCCUACGGGAGGCAGCAGUAGGGAAUUUUCGGCAAUGGGGGAAACCCUGACCGAGCAACGCCGCGUGAAGGAAGAAGUAAUUCGUUAUGUAAACUUCUGUCAUAGAGGAAGAACGGUGGAUAUAGGGAAUGAUAUCCAAGUGACGGUACUCUAUAAGAAAGCCACGGCUAACUACGUGCCAGCAGCCGCGGUAAUACGUAGGUGGCGAGCGUUAUCCGGAAUUAUUGGGCGUAAAGAGGGAGCAGGCGGCACUAAGGGUCUGUGGUGAAAGAUCGAAGCUUAACUUCGGUAAGCCAUGGAAACCGUAGAGCUAGAGUGUGUGAGAGGAUCGUGGAAUUCCAUGUGUAGCGGUGAAAUGCGUAGAUAUAUGGAGGAACACCAGUGGCGAAGGCGACGAUCUGGCGCAUAACUGACGCUCAGUCCCGAAAGCGUGGGGAGCAAAUAGGAUUAGAUACCCUAGUAGUCCACGCCGUAAACGAUGAGUACUAAGUGUUGGGAGUCAAAUCUCAGUGCUGCAGUUAACGCAAUAAGUACUCCGCCUGAGUAGUACGUUCGCAAGAAUGAAACUCAAAGGAAUUGACGGGGGCCCGCACAAGCGGUGGAGCAUGUGGUUUAAUUCGAAGCAACGCGAAGAACCUUACCUGGUCUUGACAUCCCUAUGAAUAACGGGCAAUGCCGUUAGUACUUCGGUACAUAGGAGACAGGUGGUGCAUGGUUGUCGUCAGCUCGUGUCGUGAGAUGUUGGGUUAAGUCCCGCAACGAGCGCAACCCUUAUGGUCAGUUACUACGCAAGAGGACUCUGGCCAGACUGCCGUUGACAAAACGGAGGAAGGUGGGGAUGACGUCAAAUCAUCAUGCCCUUUAUGACUUGGGCUACACACGUACUACAAUGGCGUUAAACAAAGAGAAGCAAGACCGCGAGGUGGAGCAAAACUCAGAAACAACGUCCCAGUUCGGACUGCAGGCUGCAACUCGCCUGCACGAAGUCGGAAUUGCUAGUAAUCGUGGAUCAGCAUGCCACGGUGAAUACGUUCCCGGGCCUUGUACACACCGCCCGUCACACCAUGAGAGCCGGGGGGACCCGAAGUCGGUAGUCUAACCGCAAGGAGGACGCCGCCGAAGGUAAAACUGGUGAUUGGGGUGAAGUCGUAACAAGGUAGCCGUAGGAGAACCUGCGGCUG
rnacentral:rRNA from 1 species